AGUGAACGCUGGCGGUAGGCCUAACACAUGCAAGUCGAACGGCAGCACAGUAAGAGCUUGCUCUUACGGGUGGCGAGUGGCGGACGGGUGAGGAAUACAUCGGAAUCUACUUUUUCGUGGGGGAUAACGUAGGGAAACUUACUCUAAUACCGCAUACGACCUACGGGUGAAAGCAGGGGAUCUUCGGACCUUGCGCGAUUGAAUGAGCCGAUGUCGGAUUAGCUAGUUGGCGGGGUAAAGGCCCACCAAGGCGACGAUCCGUAGCUGGUCUGAGAGGAUGAUCAGCCACACUGGAACUGAGACACGGUCCAGACGCCUACGGGAGGCAGCAGUGGGGAAUAUUGGACAAUGGGCGCAAGCCUGAUCCAGCCAUACCGCGUGGGUGAAGAAGGCCUUCGGGUUGUAAAGCCCUUUUGUUGGGAAAGAAAAGCAGCAGGUUAAUACCCCGCUGUUCUGACGGUACCCAAAGAAUAAGCACCGGCUAACUUCGUG
rnacentral:rRNA from 1 species